rnacentral:rRNA from 1 species
AUUGAACGCUGGCGGCAUGCCUUACACAUGCAAGUCGAACGGUAACGGGCCUUCGGGUGCCGACGAGUGGCGAACGGGUGAGUAAUACAUCGGAACGUGCCCGAUCGUGGGGGAUAACGAGGCGAAAGCUUUGCUAAUACCCCAUACGAUCUACGGAUGAAAGCAGGGGACCGCAAGGCCUUGCGCGGACGGAGCGGCCGAUGGCAGAUUAGGUAGUUGGUGGGAUAAAAGCUUACCAAGCCGACGAUCUGUAGCUGGUCUGAGAGGAUGAUCAGCCACACUGGGACUGAGACACGGCCCAGACUCCUACGGGAGGCAGCAGUGGGGAAUUUUGGACAAUGGGCGCAAGCCUGAUCCAGCCAUGCCGCGUGCAGGAUGAAGGCCUUCGGGUUGUAAACUGCUUUUGUACGGAACGAAAAGCCUUCUUUUAAUACAGGAGGGUCAUGACGGUACCGUAAGAGUAAGCACCGGCUAACUACGUG